rnacentral:rRNA from 1 species
GACGAACGCUGGCGGCGUGCUUAACACAUGCAAGUCGAACGGGAAUUACUUUAUUGAAACUUCGGUCGAUAUGAUUUAAUUCUAGUGGCGGACGGGUGAGUAACGCGUGGGUAACCUGCCUUGUACAGGGGGAUAACAGUCAGAAAUGGCUGCUAAUACCGCAUAAGCGCACAGAGCUGCAUGGCUCAGUGUGAAAAACUCCGGUGGUAUAAGAUGGACCCGCGUUGGAUUAGCUUGUUGGUGGGGUAACGGCCCACCAAGGCGACGAUCCAUAGCCGGCCUGAGAGGGUGAACGGCCACAUUGGGACUGAGACACGGCCCAGACUCCUACGGGAGGCAGCAGUGGGGAAUAUUGCACAAUGGGGGAAACCCUGAUGCAGCGACGCCGCGUGAAGGAAGAAGUAUCUCGGUAUGUAAACUUCUAUCAGCAGGGAAGAUAGUGACGGUACCUGACUAAGAAGCCCCGGCUAACUACGUGCCAGCAGCCGCGGUAAUACGUAGGGGGCAAGCGUUAUCCGGAUUUACUGGGUGUAAAGGGAGCGUAGACGGUGUGGCAAGUCUGAUGUGAAAGGCAUGGGCUCAACCUGUGGACUGCAUUGGAAACUGUCAUACUUGAGUGCCGGAGGGGUAAGCGGAAUUCCUAGUGUAGCGGUGAAAUGCGUAGAUAUUAGGAGGAACACCAGUGGCGAAGGCGGCUUACUGGAC